CACAGUUAUCCAUCCUUAUUAAAAGGGAAUAGCUCCCUCCCGCCAGAGGACCGUCUGCUGAAGUUCCUGGUCGACAACAACGCGGACGCUGAGGAGCCGGUGCAGUGUGCCAACUGUGACCAGGAGAGUAACAAACAGGACGCAGGGGGGAUGUACUACUGUAACACUUGUAGCCAGCCACUUUGCAGCACCUGCAGGGAGUUGACUCACAAGGCCAGAAUGUUUUCCCACCAUGAGAUUGUAUCCCUGGCCAAACGCUCCAGAGCCAAACACAGGAAGUGCUCUCUCCACGAGGAGCCCUACAUCCUGUUCUCAACUGAGAACAAGUCUAUGCUCUGCAUCAAGUGCUUCAGAGACAUGC